UACAGAGGUCUCAAGCGUUGUUCGGAUUCAUUGGGCGUAAAGGGUGCGUAGGCGGCGCGGUAAGUCGGGUGUGAAAUCUUGGAGCUUAACUCCGAAACUGCAUUCGAUACUGCCGUGCUUGAGGACUGGAGAGGAGACUGGAAUUUACGGUGUAGCGGUGAAAUGCGUAGAUAUCUGGAGGAACACCGGUGGCGAAGGCGGCAUCCUGGACCAAUUCUGACGCUGAGGAGCGAAAGCCAGGGGAGCAAACAGG
rnacentral:rRNA from 1 species